rnacentral:rRNA from 2 species
CACACGACUCUCGGCAACGGAUAUCUCGGCUCUCGCAUCGAUGAAGAACGUAGCGAAAUGCGAUACCUGGUGUGAAUUGCAGAAUCCCGUGAACCAUCGAGUAUUUGAACGCAAGUUGCGCCCGAGGCCACCUGGCCGAGGGCACGCCUGCCUGGGCGUCACGC